rnacentral:rRNA from 1 species
ACCUGGAAACAGAUGCUAAUACCGGAUAACAACAGAUGAUGCCUAUCAACUGUUUAAAAGAUGGUUCUGCUAUCGCUCUUGGGAUGGACCUGCGGUGCAUUAGCUAGUUGGUAGGGGUAACGGGCCUACCAAGGCGAUGAUGCAUAGCCGAGUUGAGAGACUGAUCGGCCACAUUGGGACUGAGACACGGCCCAAACUCCUGCGGGAGGCAGCAGUAGGGAAUCUUCCACAAUGGACGCAAGUCUGAUGGAGCAACGCCGCGUGAGUGAAGAAGGGUUUCGGCUCGUAAAGCUCUGUUGUUGGUGAAGAAGGACAGGGGGUAGUAACUGACCUUUGUUUGACGGUAAUCAAUUAGAAAGUCACGGCUAACUACGUGCCAGCAGCCGCGGUAAAU